AAUAUUUUGAUUGUUUAAUUAACUGUCAUGUUCAUGUGACGUUUGAGUGGUGAUAAAAAUUAAUAGCGAUCAACUGCCAUAUUUUUUUUUCUCUCGGAAAAUUUAUUUUUGUAAUUUAAUUAAAUUGACAUGGAUGAACCGAAAGGAAUUCCGGUUGCGUCGUGUUGUGUGAUUGUUCUUUGGUGUGCAGCAGUUGUUGCAUACUUUUCUCAAGGUGGAGGCGGUGGAGGUGGCAAUUAAUACAUUGAUGCAAUUAAUACAUUGAUGCAAUUUAUGCAAUAAAUUAUUCAGCAAUUAAAAAAAAGAAAAUGGAAAUAAAAUUAACAAUAUGGUACCACUGAUCCAAAGGAUUAACAACUGAUUGCAGACCCUAGAAAACCAUCAACGUCCAGGUCCAAUAUUUGAUUAAGCUUAAUCAAUUCGGAACUUUACUUUCGAGUGCGCGGAUAUUUCGAGGAUAAAAGGAUAAAGAGGAUGAAAAAAAAAAACUAGAUUGGGAAAACCUUCAAAGUUCCAAAUUGAUGCAAUAAAUUGAAUUAAAUGAUUGA